rnacentral:rRNA from 1 species
UAGGGAAUCUUCGGCAAUGGGGGGAACCCUGACCGAGCAACGCCGCGUGAGUGAAGAAGGUUUUCGGAUCGUAAAACUCUGUUAUUAGGGAAGAACAAAUGUGUAAGUAACUAUGCACAUCUUGACGGUACCUAAUCAGAAAGCCACGGCUAACUACGUGCCAGCAGCCGCGGUAAUACGUAGGUGGCAAGCGUUAUCCGGAAUUAUUGGGCGUAAAGCGCGCGUAGGCGGUUUUUUAAGUCUGAUGUGAAAGCCCACGGCUCAACCGUGGAGGGUCAUUGGAAACUGGAAAACUUGAGUGCAGAAGAGGAAAGUGGAAUUCCAUGUGUAGCGGUGAAAUGCGCAGAGAUAUGGAGGAACACCAGUGGCGAAGGCGACUUUCUGGUCUGUAACUGACGCUGAUGUGCGAAAGCGUGGGGAUCAAACAGG